AGGAGGAACAACCGCAGUGGCGGCGGCCAGCUCUGGAGUCCUAGAGUCAGCUCCCGCAGUAACCACAGAGCUCUCGGUCUGCAGGGCCUGCCGGCUCCCGGGGACG
rnacentral:pre_miRNA from 1 species